rnacentral:miRNA from 1 species
AAGUCAUCAACAAAAAAGUUGAAU